UCGGGAAUAUUGCGCAAUGGAGGAAACUCUGACGCAGUGACGCCGCGUGCAGGAAGAAGGUUUUCGGAUUGUAAACUGCUUUAGACAGGGAAGAAAAAGACAGUACCUGUAGAAUAAGCUCCGGCUAACUACGUGCCAGCAGCCGCGGUAAUACGUAGGGAGCAAGCGUUAUCCGGAUUUAUUGGGUGUAAAGGGGUCCGUAGACGGGAAGACAAGUUAGUUGUGAAAUCCCUCGGCUUAACUGAGGAACUGCAACUAAAACUAUCAUUCUUGAGUGCUGGAGAGGAAAGUGGAAUUCCUAGUGUAGCGGUGAAAUGCGUAGAUAUUAGGAGGAACACCAGUGGCGAAGGCGACUUUCUGGACAGUAACUGACGUUGAGGCACGAAAGUGUGGGGAGCAAACAGGAUUAGAUACC
rnacentral:rRNA from 1 species